UUUUUAGUCAUGGAAAUAAAAUUGAAUAGUUUGCAGUCAUUUUACGUACUGCUUCUAACUAUAACUAGAUGCUGGACUUUUAAUGUAUCUGGUAAUGUAUAUUUCAAUGGUGAGUCACCAGCUUUUCUUAAAAGUGGUUCUUGGUUGUUUGUUAAAGUAGAAGAUGCUUCAAUACAGGAUGUUCCUUCUGUAACUUUAAAAGAAAAUUUUAUCGAUCUUUCGAAUUAUAAUCCUUCAACAACGUUAUCAUAUUCAGUUACAGGCAUUGCAAAUAAUAUCGCACCUAGCACUCAUAUAUCUGUCUCUGCAGUUUUAAGAAACGGAUGGAAGUCUGAUGGAGAUAACUGGAUAAAAAAAGGUGACUACUUGACAGACAGCAGAAACGAUAUCAACUAUGAUUUUAAAAGUACAAGUUUUCAUAAAGACAUUUAUUUAACUCGAUAUGAUUAAUUUUGAGCAAGUUUGAUCAUUAAAAUAAUUUUGACGUAUUAUUUUUAAAAAUUUAUUUUAUGCACUAAAAAUAUUGUAAAUUGAUAAUGGAACAUUUCUUUAUUUCUUUGA
rnacentral:lncRNA from 1 species